AAAGAUAUAGAAAUGAAAAGCAUUAGAAGGUUAUCCUGACGUCUUAGCUAUGCACACUCUCUCUAUAGGCUUGAAAUCUAUCUCCCUCCACGGAUUUUGACUCAACUCCUCUAGAGUCUAAAGGUAUUUUAUUGGUUGUAACAUCUGGGUUAGGGUAAAAGGUGGGGCAAAAAUUUGAAAAUUUGGUGGUAUUUCUUAAGUGAAGCAAAAGAGAGGCCCUCUCUCAAAAGCAAGUGCCCACCGUCGACCAUUGCUGGUUCUGCCUGCUCCGGUCGCACACACCACCGUCCUUGUGCUCCACCACCACCGUCCAACAGCUGGCCACCAGAUAAGACCUGAAGAAAGGCAUUCAUGUUGAAAACCUAAGAGUUAGAGGUCACUAGUGCUCGAGAUGUUAUGCAACAGCUUCUUCAGGGUGCUGCAAACAGAAAGGUGGCUGCCACUAACAUGAAUAGAGCAAGUAGUCGUUCUCACAGUGUAUUCACCUGUGUUAUUGAGAGUACUUGGGAAUCCCAAGGUGUAACACAUAAUCGCCUUGCUCGACUAAAUCUUGUAGAUUUAGUUGGCUCUGAAAGGCAAAAGAGUUCUGGUGCAGAAGGUGACCGUCUUAAAGAAGCCACAAAUAUCAAUAAGUCAUUGUCAACUUUAGACUCGCGAUAAUGAACCUCAUGAGCAUAUCCAAUGGAAAAUCCCAUCACGUGCCAUAUCGAGAUUCAAAAUUAACCUUUUUGCUUUAGGUAUUUUCUAACACAAUUUUUUGCUCAUUAAUCUGCCAAGGAAUUUUAUUUGCAAGUCUGACUUGAGCUGUACUUUGGAAUUCAACUCACUUGGAGGGAAUGUAAAAACUACUAUAAUUGCUAAUAUUAGUCCAUCCAACUGGUUAGUGCUUCCUACAUCCCUUUUCUUUUUAAUCGUCACUUUCAUCUAUAAUGCAAUGGGAAUCUAAACCAGGCAAAGUGUUUAGUUUGUAUCUCGUACACAUGGUAGUGUUGAUUUAGCAAUCUCGAAUAAUUCUCUUCUAUUUUGAGGUGAUGGCAGAGUUUAUAAUUUUGCUUAAGCAGAUACAGAGUAUUUCCUAUUUUUUCUUUAUCUCGAGUUCCAAAUAUAGAAGGUAGAUUUUUCUGUGUUUAGAACUUUAUUCCUUGAUAUAACUUUUCGGCUUCUUGCAGCUGCUCACUGGAGACUCUUAGUACCCUGAAGUUUCAGCGUGCUAAAUUUAUAAAGAACAAUGCCGUUGUAAACGAAGAUGCUUUUGGUGAUGUCCUUGCCAUGAGAAUGCAAAUUCAGCAAUUGAAGGGAUUUUUGGGUCAAAUACCUAGCGACAAACUCCUAUGUUCCUUCACUGAAACGCAGUCAAGAGAUAGAGUGCAGUAUGUGCUUAGAACGUGUGCUCGCUAAGAUAGCAGCCUCUGAACGGAAGUUUGGUUUGCUAUCAGAAUGUGACCACCCAUUUUGUAUAACUUGCAUCAGAUUUUGGCGUAACAGCUCACCAACCUAUGGAAUAAAUGUUAAUUCCACAUUGAGGGCUUGUCCUAUAUGUCGUAACAGCUACAGUGGAAUCACAUAAAUUCUAUGAGGAUUUGAAGCCACCCAGCUCUCCAAGCCCAUCUUCUCCUGGUAACUCUCGUGAAGAAUCUUUGGAGACUUCAACACCUGUGGAUGGUGUACCACAGUUCAUUGAUGGAAACGGAUCCUUGGCAGAAGAUGUUCAAGAGGAAUUGAUUUUUUACCACUCACCAUUCCCUGUAUAUGAAGACUUGAAGCCCCCUACUUCGCUAACCCCAACAACUCCUAAUUCAUUGGCCACUUCCAUGGCCUCGGAUGGUGCUGAAUCUCAGACAGCUAGCUUGUCAAAUAAUGGUCCAGUUGAAUCUAUGGAAGCAUAAGAUGCAGGGAAUGAGCAGACUUCCGCACAGCCAAAGCCAAGACCACUUUCAACGUAUACAAUGCUGGUUCUGACUUCUGGUUUGUUCUGACUUUGAGAUUCAUUGGUUUGUUCUGACUUCUGGGAUUCAUUCUCCUUUUUGCUCUCUUGUGAGCAACUGUACAUUGACAUCUCAAGUUCUGAAUUUAAUUCAUAUUAUGAGGCAGAAGUUUAGUGGCAUCUUAACUGUGUACAUCGAAUAUUAUAGCUUUGGAAAGUUUUUCUUCAUGUCUGAUGUAGAUGAGUAAAGGUCAUUGCACUCGACUAAUGCUAUGAUCGGAAUGCUUCUAAUGCCAGCUUAGUCUGCCUGAGAGCCUUUUGCGUGUCCAUGUUGUUUGUGCUUAUGUAACAUUGUAUGUUAUUUAUUCUUUGACGAAAAUUGUAAUAUUACAGCCUUUUAUAAUGAAAAUAUGUAACUUUAUAU